GGAGAGAAAUUCUUCUACAGUAACUCAAUUUCAUCCAUAAAAGUCUUCACCCUUCAACGCCUACUCAUCCCAAAAUCAGUUCUUCACUCUAGGCUUCUUUUUAAUCCAUUUUCCCAACCUUGAGCUUCUUCUCAAUUAGUAUUCGACAGCAAAUCUUGCAACUGAACAAUAGCAUAACACCAAGGUCAGCCUUUUAUUCAACCCAUCAUCGCUUGUUAAAGAAAAAAACUUUCAUUUAUACUAAUUUGCACAUACGUGAGUAUCAUAGAAAAUGAUGAAGCAACGCCGGGGAGAUUAAAAGUGUAUACCCGACGCUUUAAGAAGACAACAGCGUAGCAAGACGUAGGACGCAUGAGUUUUUAUUCAGUUUUUAUUUUACUUUUGGGUUGUAUGGGCUUUAUGUCUUAUGCAUGGGCCUUAGUAGGAAUUAAGUAUUUAUUUGCCCUCUUCUCAGUAAAUUUGGGUAUUCAGAUAAUAUUUUUGUUAGCGUUUUUACGCUGUGACAGAGUGAUUUUACUCUGCGGCCUCUUUGAGGAUUUUCAUUCAAUAUCAGUUCUUUUUCUCCCAUUAUUCCGUCUUCACUCUAUUAAUUUGGUGCGGUGAACGUGGAACUUAUGGCGACGAAUAAGGAACGAAUUGAAUAUGUAGAGAAGACGGUAGAGGAAGUGCAGGCGACAGUUGGCGGAUUGGAGAUUUCGAUGGCGACCAUGCAGAAAACCCUAGCCGCUAUUUUGUCUAAACUACCAGACCAGGAACAGGACGUAAGUUCAAGCGACUCAGGUAGUAAUGGGGAAUCUGGUAAGCAGCAUGGGAUGGACGUAGGAACUCCAGACACAUCAUUACCACGGAUGGAUAUACCGUUGUUUGAUGGGACAGACAGGCGUGGAACAAUACUUUCUAGUGCAGCGCGUUCCAACUGAGCAGAAAGUGCGAUUGGCGCUUAUCGCCAUGUUAGGACGCUCGAUGUUUUGAGCGCAGUGGGUGCUGUGCCGCUCCGCAACUAUACUAUAGAAUCAGUUUACGCAGGAAUUAAUAGAGCGUUUUGGCGACAGCUCGGCUAUCAAAGCCUACGAGGCCAUGCACGUAACCUGUCAGAUAGGGUCAUUGGAAGACUACUUAGCCUUAUUUAAGGACCACCUCUGCCACGUGAGCAACAGUUGGGCAUGUUCCUCGGCGGCUUGAAUCAAUCCAUCAGAGAUCGCAUCCCAAGUUUGGAGAUGACCGACGUGUUUGCUGCCAUUAGAUCGGCGCGCAGGAUUGCACGGCCUCAAAGGACUGCCACCACACCAACAAAGUCUGGGUUCACUACUGGUACAUUCACGCGAUCAGUUUCGUCCUACCACAGCCCAUUAACGACUUUGAGUCAGUCACAACAAUCCGGAAACAGACCCCAAUUCUCUUCAUCAGCCUCAUCUGGUCCAUGAGGAAGCCGCAACUCGCGACUUAGCCUGGAACAACAUAAGGAAUAUAUAGCUAAAGGAAAGUGCUUUAAAUAUGGAGAACGCUACAGCCCCAAGCACAAGUGUGUGGCCAAAUCACUCAUGGUGAUUUUGGAAGCGGAAGAGUAUGACAUGGAGGAGACUGGAGUGGAUAUGGAGCAGUAGGAAAAUGCGGAACACGAGGGUCAGGGUAUUCGAGCAGAAUUGAAACAACUACAACUUUCCAAAUUAUCGUCCAACAGGUUUGAUGGAGCCCAAACUUUGAAGCUGUUUUGUAUUAUCCCACCAUUUUCUCUAGUAUUCUUUAUUAUAAGGGUUGCAUCAUUAAGUUAGAUAAGAAAGUCAAGAUAGUUAGUGAUUUAUUUUAGAAUUAGAGUUUUAUUUUAUAGAAAUAGAAUUUUGAAUCCAAAUUAUUUAUUCAUUAUAUUUUAAAUUUCAACUAUUGUAAAGUAUUUAAAUUUUAAAUGGUAAAGUCAUUGAAAAUUUUAUUA